UUUUUAAUUUUCAAAGUCUACUGACGGUGAUCCUGUUGUUGAUAUGUACCUGUGCAUAUCUACGGUCUAUAGCCCCAUCACUUCUGGACCGACACAAGACAGGAUUAAUGGGCACCUUUUGGAAAUGUGCAAGAAUAGGUGAGA